UUUAUCGGCUAGUGCUGGGUCAAUAAUCCCCAGCCAGCCCCUCUGCUGCGCUCAACGGCUCCCGCGCGGGGCUGGGUUGUCCCGUCCCCAAGCGAUUAGCUCCGGAUUUGUCGCUUUUAGAUUGAUUCGGAUUCGUUCCGGAGCGCCCCGUGCCCUGGGUUCUGCCGCGGGGACGCGCGGGCUGCUGGGGCAGAGGCACCCGGCUGACCCCGGGGCAGGUCUUAACCCAGCACAACGACGUGGCCAACGUGCAGUAUGAUUCACCUUGGCAGCCUUGUGCUGAAGCAGCUAUGUGAGACCCACACCACCUUCUAGUCCCAUUGGCUUCCAUGCCAGUACAAGACAAAGAGGAGGGGAGGCGUGCGAUCUUUGCCUUGUUGAAUAGCUGCAUUCACCGCUGUUCCCUGCAAAAAAUGGACCUGUUAGUUUAUUAAUAACCUAAACAUUAGGUAUUAAAGACCUAUGAGUGACACAGGAUGACAAAAAGCUGUAUUUUUCCAAUAUACACAAGCACACAUUUAAUAACCUUCUAUUGCAUCUCAGCUAGGCCUUCUCUCUGAUGGUUCCCAUGGCAACUGAGAUAAAAAAGCAGCCAUUUUCCAUAUCUCUAUGAAAGUCUAUUAUAUUGCAGGAUUAGUUCAUCUUCUGCUAAGGUCAAACACAAAGUCAUACAACCUGAAAUAUUUAGAAUCCAUGUACGUUCAUUUUUUUUAUAUGCCCUUUCAUUUUCCACCAGAGUGGGCUCCUCUGAGGUUUUAUUCCCCAGAAAAUGCAAAGCAAAGCAAUAAAAAAACAUGAUUAGCCGUUGAUGAAAAGUUCUUUUCUUUUUUUUUUUUAAACUAUUGUUACAUAGAUAGUGUAUUACCCAUUUAUCUCUAUCAACAGCAAUGAUUUCUAGUGAUAUUGAACAGCUAAUUGGGCUCUUUGAGAUUUGCAGGCGAAGGCCGCCACCUUCUGGCCAGCAUUGGCGAAGCAUCCGAGUUUCCUAAGCAAAAGCUUUUGGUUUGUUUAUGGUGCAGUAGGUCCCAGAAGUUAAGCGCGGGAAGGAGAACCCAUUUCAUGGCCAACUAGGCUAGAAAGCUGCACUUAACGUUGUUCUGCUACAGCAUCAUGUGCCAGAAAGCCAAGAGACCAGCUCCUGGAUUGGAAAGGUAAGGCCCAUUUUCUGAUGCUGGGAUUAUUUAGCCUUCUCACUUUCAAAAUGACCCACGCUCAGGUGCAGUCAGGCUAGCCAGUGGCUGUAAUAUUUAUUGCACUAGCUAGUGGAUUCGAUCAGUGUAAAAUAAAGAUUCUUCUUUAUCUUGCAUAAAAAGUAGAUGUGUCCUGUCCCUUCUUUUUUGGUUGAUCCACUUCAUGAUAACUGUGGAUUCAAGGAAAGGCCACGAGCAACAGACCUGCCUAGCACUUCACUCACUCUGUUGGGGAAAAGCAAAAACUGGGCUGAAUUAUGAGCUAAAGUAGGAAGAAAUUAGAUCAACCUUAUUAGGGGAUAAAUCCUCACCAUCCUGCUGCCUUUCACAGUCAUAGCACUAGACAUGCACAGUUUCGCAAGAGAUGAGACCUUAAGCACGUAAGAAUGGCCACAUUGGGUCAGACCAAGGAUCUGUCUCACCCAGUAUCCUGUCUUCCAACAGUGGCUGGGUGCCAGAUGUGUCAGAGGAAGUGAACAGAACCGGGCAGUUUGAAUCAUCUAUCGCCUGUUGUCCAGUCCCAGUAUCUAGCAGUCAGAGGUUUAGGGACACCCAGAGCAUGGGGUUGCAUCCCUGACCGUCUUGGC